ACAUGCUUUGACCACGUGGAUUUUGCAAUACCGUAAUUACUGUGAUAAACGCACAGUGGGUUUCCUGCACAAAUAUUAGAUUCAGUU